rnacentral:piRNA from 1 species
UGCCUAUCCCUCCACUUUCCACCACACC